rnacentral:rRNA from 1 species
UACGGAGGAUCCAAGCGUUAUCCGGAAUCAUUGGGUUUAAAGGGUCCGUAGGCGGUUUAGUAAGUCAGUGGUGAAAGCCCAUCGCUCAACGGUGGAACGGCCAUUGAUACUGCUGAACUUGAAUUAUUAGGAAGUAACUAGAAUAUGUAGUGUAGCGGUGAAAAUGCUUAGAUAUUACAUGGAAUACCAAUUGCGAAAGGCAGGUUACUACUAAUGGAUUGACGCUGAUGGACGAAAGCGUGGGGAGCGAACAGG